AAUUUUCCGCAAUGGGCGAAAGCCUGACGGAGCAAUACCGCGUGAGGGAAAUGAAGGCCUAUGGGUUGUAAACCUCUUUUUUCAGGGAGGAAGGAAGUGACGUGUACCUGAAGAAUAAGCAUCGGCUAACUCCGUGCCAGCAGCCGCGGUAAGACGGAGGAUGCAAGUGUUAUCCGGAAUCACUGGGCGUAAAGCGUCUGUAGGUGGUUAAAUAAGUCAACUGUUAAAUCUUGGGGCUCAACUUCAAAAUCGCAGUCGAAACUAUUUGACUUGAGUAUAGUAGGGGUAAAGGGAAUUUCCAGUGGAGUGGUGAAAUGCGUAGAUAUUGGAAAGAACACCAAAGGCGAAGGCACUUUACUGGGCUAUUACUUACACUCAGAGACGAAAGCUAGGGUAGCAAAUGGGAUUAGAUACCCCAGUAGUCCUAGCCGUA
rnacentral:rRNA from 1 species